AGAUUUUCAUGAUGACUUUAUCUCUGUAACUUUACAAUGAAGUCCAGCAGUCUCUUUACCUCUGCAGUGUGGUCAUCGAC